rnacentral:lncRNA from 1 species
CUCAUGCAAAUUCAUUAAUAUACUCCUUAAAUAAUUUUGAUUGCCAUAAUUAAAAUAACAACCUCCAACACCACCAUAAAUCAAGGCCUAUAUAUUCCAUGUUCAAGGCCGUAUAAUUUGAAGUCCAUGCAUGGUAGAAUCACAACUCAUAACAAAAUAUAGUACUUGUUCUUCUUCUUCUUGUGCAAAACUAAUGAUUCUCUAAUAGCCUUGGCAUCUUUCCAAGCUAUUUUCGCAGUGGAAUAUGAUGUCUUCAACAAUGCACCAAAAACCCCAGGUGGACUCCGUUUCGACCUCCAAAUCUGCGUCCCC